rnacentral:misc_RNA from 1 species
AGGAAAAAAAAAAAAAAAGAAAACCCAUUUGUUUCUGGGCUUCUGGGUUCAUGUAGGAAAUGGAAACUUUUAAUUUAAUGGCUUCCUUUGAUGGAAAUUUUGUAGCAUAACCUUGUGAAAUCCUGUAUGCUUCUCUGUUUAUUGCUCUAGUCAUAAACAGACACCUAACCACUAGUCUUGUAAAAAAAAAGACCAGUCAUUUCUAUGGGUUGGGUCUGUAGCAUUGAAUUUGAUGUUGCGUCUGUAGCAUGGUCCAUUAUUGCACUUUUAGGUCUAGAACCUGUCACCUCUAAUCAUUCUUUAAACACUAUAAACUCUAUAAUAUUAAAUAUUUCUAUAAAAAAUAUUUUUCAUAUUUAAAUUAUUUAAAAAAAUAAACGAAUCUUAAUUUAAAAAAUUUAAUUAAAAUUUAUUUUUAACAGUUCUACAAACUGUUUAGGAAUCAUCCUAUACAAAAACAAAUAACAAAUAACCUUUUCAUUUCUUGUAUAUGAAUUGCAGGUUGUGAUGAGUGGUUUGAGAGGAGAAGCAGAAGAAUCACAAAUGUACUCAUCAUAU